rnacentral:rRNA from 1 species
AAUAUUGGACAAUGGGGGCAACCCUGAUCCAGCCAUGCCGCGUGUGUGAAGAAGGUCUUCGGAUUGUAAAGCACUUUACGUUGGGAGGAAGGGCUGUAGGCUAAUACCCUGAAGUUUGGACGUUACCACCAGAACAAGCACCGGCUAACACUGUGCCAGCAGCCGCGGUAAUACAGCGGGGGCAAGCGUUAAUCGGAAUUACUGGGGGUAAAGCGCGCGUAGGUGGUUCAGUAAAAUGGGUGUGAAAUCCCCGGGCUUAACCUGGGAACUGCUUUCAUAACUGCUGAGCUAGAGUACGGUAGAGGGUAGUGGGAUUUCCUGUGUAGCGGUGAAAAGCGUAGAUAUAGGAAGGAACACCAGUGGCGAAGGCGACUACCUGGACUGAUACUGACACUGAGGUGCGAAAGCGUGGGGAGCAAAC